GAUGAACGCUGGCGGCGUGCUUAACACAUGCAAGUCGAACGAAGCAAUUGGAGUGCUUGCACUUUGAUUGACUGAGUGGCGGACGGGUGAGUAACGCGUGGGUAACCUGCCUCACACAGGGGGACAACAGUUGGAACGACUGCUAAUACCGCAUAAGCGCACAGUAUCGCAUGAUACAGUGUGAAAAACUCCGGUGGUGUGACGAUGGACCCGCGUCUGAUUAGCUAGUUGGUAAGGUAACGGCUUACCCAAGGCGACGAUCAGUAGCCGGCCUGAGAGGGUGAACGGCCACAUUGGGACUGAGACACGGCCCAAACUCCUACGGGAGCAGCAGUGGGAAUAUU
rnacentral:rRNA from 1 species